GACGAACGCUGGCGGCGUGCUUAACACAUGCAAGUCGAACGGAAAGGCCCUGCUUUUGUGGGCUGCUCGAGUGGCGAACGGGUGAGUAACACGUGAGUAACCUGCCCUUGACUUUGGGAGGACUUCAUGAAACUUGGUCUAUUACCGGAUAGGAUCUCCUGCUUCAUGGUGGGGGUUGGAAAGUUUCGGCGGUUGGGCAUGGACUCGCGGCUUAUCAGCUUGUUGGUUGGGUAGUGGCUUACCAAGGCUUUGACGGGUAGCAGGCCUGAGAGGGUGACCGGCCACAUUGGGCCUGAGAUACGGCCCAGCCUAGUCCGGGAGGCAGGAGUGGGGAAUAGAGUACAGUGGGAGGAAGGAUGGUGCAGUCCAGCCGCGCGGGGGAUGACGGCAAUGGGGUAGUAUAGCGAAUUCGCUUGUCACGAAGCGUGAGUGACGGUAACGGGUAAAGAAGCACCGGCUAACUACGUG
rnacentral:rRNA from 1 species